AGGCCCAAGCUUCCUUCGACACACAUCCCUGUGUGAAAAGCUCUGAUGUUGAUCCAAGUUUUUCUGGGGCACCUGGUUGUGGCCCUAGGCCUGCUCCUGCCCUACCCUGUCUGUGAGGCCACCUCUCUGGGUGCAGUGGUCAAUGUUGUCCCUCUAGAGAAGAGUGGAGGAAAUAUGGUGAGGGCCCACUACACCGUGAUCUCUGCCCUUCCCUGUCCUACGUUCUCCGGAGUGUGUCAGACAGGGGAAGACUGUGUCGUGCAUACCACCUCGUUACCCUACACAGGACAGAAGCCCGCCUCAGGCUGGUGUGUCCGCCAAUGGCAGAGGACCAUUCCCAGCAACUACAAGGCCACCGUGAAUGUGGGGUCCAACGUGAAUGUGUUUCUGUUCUUGUGGGCUGGACCCUCCAACCAGUCUAACCCAUUGAGACUAAACCAGCCCCCUUACUGCAGCCUGCCUCCUCCUCUCAGGGCUCGUGUGAACUGCCCACAUCACUUCCCACUGACGGUGAAGGACCUGGAUGGGGACACAGUGCUCUGUCGCUUUGCCCAGGCUGACCUUGGAGAAUGCCUUGACUGCCCCCAGUACAACUUUCUGAAGAUGGAGGAGGAGACGUGUACGUUGUUGUACAACGGUAAAUCAUCCGCUGGCCAAUACUCUGUGCAGCUGAUGGUGGAGGACUUUUCAGGCCAAACCCAAACCAACAAACCCAAAGCACUCAGUUCCAUCCCACUGCACCUGUCCCUUACAGUGGAGGAGGCGUCCUCAAGCUGCACUGCUGAGCCGGUCACUACAGGACUGACACCAACAGGGGGAGCCACUAUCUACGUUCUGCCCUAUGAGCAGAUCAACGUGUCUGUCACCUUUCAUUCUGACCUAGAGAGCGUGUCAGAAAUAGUGGUGGUUGGUCCCCCUGGCCUCUUCAGGACAGCGCUGGAAACCAAGGGUUCCCUGGCCACCAUGAAUCUCACAUGGGUCCAGAGCCCCAGUAACAUGCCCUCCCCUCUUUUGCCCCUUUGUUUCCUGGCCAACACCAACAGUUUGCAGUCUGAACCCAGAUGUGUGUGGCUUUACCAAAGACAGAUGGAGACCUUUCCCACUGGAACAGAGCUGACCUGUGGGAAGACUGAGAUGCAUCUGGUUCUCCCCAUUUCCACCCUGAAGAACCUGGUUGUGUCAGAGCUCCAGCUCAACCAUCCUUCCUGUAGUGUCACGUCCAACUCCACCCAUGUGAUGGCCCGCAUCUCUCUGACUGGCUGCGGCACUAAGAGAGUGCACUCUGGUUCAGAGAUGGUGUACACCAACACCCUGCGAAGUGUACGCAACACUGUCAUCAGUCGGCAGCCCACCCUGAUUAUGUCGCUCGCCUGCCGUUUCCCCGGCGUCGAGGCCAAGGGCCCGCGGUACGCCAUCAACAUGCCGUCGGAGCAGGAGACCUUCGGCAUCAUCAAGUUCUGGUUGGAGUUCUACCGGCCUGGGGAGGGGCCCAUGGCUAACAGAACUAAAAUCGCCAAGUUCCGCCACCUCCUCCCUUUCUCGCAGCGUGUCCGCCGAGAGACGUCGGUCCGCACCGCGAGCAGGCUGGACACACUGGACCUGCAUGUGUUCUCCAACACCUCUCUGGACAGGGCAGAGCUGAUGGUGGGCAAGUGCAUGGAGUCCGAGACAGAAGACAUGGCUGACAGCCACUGGAUCCUGGAUCAGGGGUGUUCGGCUGGAAAUGGAACCCUGGAGAUUCUGACUUCAACCCCCACUGUCAGGGUAUACCGAAUCAACCUGAGCACUAUCAAAACUAAAGGAACCACGAUGUACGUGGAGUGUACAGUGUAUCUCUGUGUCACCACGAGGCCCUCUCAGAAGUGCCCUGAUCAGUGUGACAGGGCCAGCAGCAACCAGGUAAUGGUUGACAACGUGCUGACCAGGAGCUACACCGUCCGCUCCGGCCCUGUUAGCCUCGUACCCACCACCGCUGCACUGGCAACUACCACUGUGGUCCCAGCAACCACCCCCACUGGUACCAUUAGUGCAACAGCAGCAACAACUACAACAGCCUCGAAUGCUCCGACUGAGGACUCAAACAUGGCAGUGGGCGUGGUCUUGGCUGUCAUUCAUGUCUUACUUCAAGGCCUGCUUCAUCACUGAAGAGAACAAGGCUUAUAAUUCCAAUGUUGUUCAAUUGUAGCUCUCGUGAAUUACUGCAUACUAAUUUACAUCAUAAGAAGCCAAUGGAAUUAAUGAUAUGACACACUUUUUACAUUGAAUGGGUCGUUUUUCAAGAUAAUUAUUUUGUACAGUAAAACUCCCCAUGGUGGUUUCUACAUUUUCUCUGAGGACAUUGGUAGACUUACAUUGCAUCAAAACUCGAAAUUUGUGCAUGUAAAGCACGAAACACCGAGAAUCUCACUGCUGAAAGGUACUUAUCACAGCGGGUGGCAUUCCUUCUCUUGCUCGAGAAAAAGCGGUAGCUGCUGCGUGACAACCUGGUAGCGAGGAAUUGUGUCUGUGUAUUGUCACAAUACUCUGACAAUUUUACCAGGCAAACGUUUGACAAUCUUACUGGUGUGUCUGAGCUUUAGCUAUUUUUAACUGCUGUUUAUAACUAUUUUCGUCCAAAAAUCCUGUUCAGAAUGUAAUCCUGGAUAUGAACAUAAAGUAAUUGUUUAUGUUUAUGUAAUUGUUCAUGCAUUGUUCAUGCAUGCACUGUAAAAAAUAUAAAUAAAAUAUAGUUUCAACUAAUUAUUAUUA
rnacentral:lncRNA from 13 species